UUGUAUUGUAUUUUGAGCCUCAAAAAAUGGAAGUGGCCCAGGCCUCUCUCGACCUCUGAGAGGGCCUGAUCA